rnacentral:sRNA from 1 species
GAUGGGCAAGGUGGUAUAUGCUUGUAAUCUCUGCUUUUGAAGAGUCUGAGGCUAGCAGAUGCCUUAAGCUCACAAUGUCUGAGCUGUAGGUGGCUGGCAUGAAUAGAUGUUCACACUAAGUGUUUCACCAAUAUAGCGAACCCUGGGAAGAGGAGUAGGGUAUACCAGGUUGCCUAAGGAGGGUUGAACUAGCCCAAGUCAGAAAGGCAGUAGGUCAAAACUCCUGUGAUAGUCACUUGUGGAAUUGGCCAUCAGAGUGAGAUAGGGAGACCCAGUCCCU